GGGGAAUAUUGGACAAUGGGCGCAAGCCUGAUCCAGCCAUGCCGCGUGAGUGAUGAAGGCCCUAGGGUUGUAAAGCUCUUUCACCGAUGAAGAUAAUGACGGUAGUCGGAGAAGAAGCCCCGGCUAACUUCGUGCCAGCAGCCGCGGUAAUACGAAGGGGGCUAGCGUUGUUCGGAAUUACUGGGCGUAAAGCGCACGUAGGCGGAUUGGUCAGUUAGGGGUGAAAUCCCAGGGCUCAACCCUGGAACUGCCUUUAAUACUGCCAGUCUAGAGUUCGAGAGACGUGAGUGGAAUUCCGAGUGUAGAGGUGAGAUUCGUAGAUAUUCGGAGGAACACCAGUGGCGAAGGCGGCUCACUGGCUAGAUACUGACGCUGAGGUGCGAAAGCGUGGGGAGCAAAC
rnacentral:rRNA from 1 species